CUCAUCCAUAGCCCCGGCCUGGGGGGUUGGGGGGGGGGUCCCCACUCGAAUAUCGCGAUAUGACGGCAACUAUCGCGAUAUGGCUGCGACUAUCGCGAUAUCCCUGCGCUCUAUCGCGGCGUGGAGGCGCCUGUGACCCGUUGGCGGUGCCCUAUCGCGACAUAAUGGCGCCUUAUCGCAACAUAACGCCCCCUAUCGCGACAUAACGGUGCCCUAUCGCGACAUAACGGCCCCCUAUCGCGACAUAACGGCCCCCUAUCGCGACAUAAUGGCGCCCUAUCGCGACAUAACGGCCCCCUAUCACGACAUAAUGGCGCCCUGUCGCGACAUAACGCCCCCUAUCGCGACAUAACGGUGCCUUAUCGCGACAUAACCGCGCUCUAUCGCGAUAUAAUGGCGCCCUAUCGCGACAUAACGCCCCCUAUCGCGAUUCAGCCGCGCUCCGUUAGCAGCAGUCGUCGUCCGUUUCGCUGUAGGGGUCGCGGAGUCUCUGGCGGCCGACGACCCCCCCCGGGAACCCCCGCCCCCCCCGGUCCGUGACGUUCGGCAGCACGCCGGCCCGGCCGCAGGGGGGGGAUGGACCAUAGAACGGGAUUGAGGUGGGGGGGGGGGGCCGCGGUGGUCGGGGUGGGAGGGGGGAGGGUCCCGGAGAUCCGGGGCGGGGUUUCGGUAGACAACGCCGGGAGGAGGAGCCCGGGGGGGCAGAUCGAUUUAGU
rnacentral:lncRNA from 1 species